AGCCAAAGCAAUGGAGAGCCUGAAAUGCCAUCUGGAGCUGGGAGGCAAUGGCUUCAUGGAUAGCAAGGCCACAGCUGUGAACAUACAACUCUUGGAAUGGUUUAUACAGAAUUGUUUCACAGAGGGAACUCAAAACAUCUAUAACUGACCUUCAGGGGAAGCUGUUCUAUUGUCUUCUGUUGGGAAAACUGCAGCAUAAACUGUGUGUUUAGAGCAGCAUAAUCCUUUUUUUCACAAAAUGAAGAAAUUAUGGAUGCUUCAUCCACAAAAGUGACUCUUGGAUGUGGCCACUGCAUAAAUAAAAUG